CUGCUCGGGUCCUUUGUCACUGCCCAGCACCAGGAAGCACUGUGAAUUUCUACACGUUUCUGCUUAUGCUGUAAAAGGGACAGAGGAGAGAGGCUGAUGAUCUGGAAUGACUGACAGUUGGUUUUAAAUCCUGUGCACACAGCAGGAGCCACACUGGAUGACAGAGCUGUCAAAAAGGCGUUUUACACCCGUUUUUCAUCAAAUGAAACAUUGAUACUAAGCCUCUCAGAAAAAUGCACACCUGGGCCUGAACCAGCAUGAUAAUGUAUUAUGAUAGAAACAACGUUUGAAAGCUCCAAAUAUUUUGAUCUUACUUUUGUUGAGCUGUCAUGUUGUCCAUCUUUUUAUUCAGUCUAUUGCAUUGACAUUAGAGUAAUAAAGAUGGCUUGGUUUUAGUUUUA